rnacentral:ncRNA from 1 species
UGGGUCGACAGAGUGAAACAGGGAAGCCGGUGAGGGCGUGUUGGACCUACACAACCGCCACGAUCCCGGCGCUGCCCCCGCAACGGUAAACGAGUCAAAGCCACGCUCAGUGCCACUGUGUUUUUUGCACGGGAAGGCGCGUGGACAAGGGUGCACCCUACAGGUGCCGCCCGCUUGUGAGCCCGGAGACCGGCCUGAUCC